CCCGCUCGCUGGAUAUUUAUAUUUCAAAUGGUUCAAAUAUUUUCAUAAAAAAUACCACAAUAUUUCGUUGAGUUAAGGAAACUGGUUUAACCGGUUCCCCCAUAUCACAUACGCUUUAGCCCUUUUCUAUGGGAAUCUGCACCCAUACAUAUUGGGUGAAAUAAUUUUACAAUAUUGCAGCAUCAAAAGGAGUUGAUUCUUGUUGGUGAGUUGGAAACUUUAAAAGAUCUCAAGAAAUAGAGAGCACAUCGUACUCGACGUAGGAUGCAUGUCAGCGGAUUUUCUCUACUUCUGUCAGUAUAAUUUUUCAGGGCACGUGUUCAUGCUCAUGUUUUCCAUUUCCUUUCUCAAAUUAAUUGAAAGUUUAAAUACAUCGGAACCUUUUAACAACCCAUGUAAUUUGCUCAUUCGUUAACUUUGCUAGCAUCCCAUACACAUUCUCAGCAUUCGGCCCUAAAGUCCAGGAAAACUUUUUUCUUUUUUCCUUCUCAAGCCAAACUUCCUCUGUGGCAGCUGUGCGCCGGUCGGGUCGGGUCGGUACGGGCUGGGACGCAAUUCUCCAUUUUUCGAGCAACUUAAUUUACGCUGAAAUCCAUUUGACUUUAUCUGACAUUCCAAUCAAGUCGUCUAAAAAUUUGUAACAAAAAAAUCAACAAAAAAUAUUAUAAUAAAAUGC
rnacentral:lncRNA from 1 species